GGGUUGGUAGGUUGGUCAUGCCUCUGGUAUGUACUGGUCUCACUGAUUCCUCCUUCCUGAUGAACCUUAAUGCCAUUAAUUUGGUGUUUUGGGGAAUUUGGACUGUUACUUUGAAAAAAUUAGAUGGUUUAAAGCAAGCUAACGCUUGAAUACAUUAGGAUGGAAUAAUGAAAUAGGACGUUCGGUUCUAUUUUGUUGGUUUCUAGGAUUGACGUA
rnacentral:rRNA from 1 species